ACACGACUACAUUAGAUACCCGGGUAGUCCCAGCCCUAAACGAUGCGCGUUAGGUGUAUCGGUGACCACGAGUCACCGAGGUGCCGAAGGGAAACCGUGAAACGUGCCGCCUGGGAAGUACGGUCGCAAGGCUGAAACUUAAAGGAAUUGGCGGGGGAGCACCACAAGAGGUGGAGGCUGCGGUUCAAUUGGACUCAACGCCGGAAAACUCAUCGGGAGCGACAGCAGUAUGAUUGCCAGGUUGAUGACCUUGUUCUUGACAAGCUG
rnacentral:rRNA from 1 species